rnacentral:misc_RNA from 1 species
GGAAAUUAGAUAAGAGUUAACAUGAAAUGCAAGACCCCUUAAACAGGUUAUUGAGAAGGUUAACCUCACAGACAUGUGAGUGCGAAAGCGAGAGAAAUGCUGGGUGGCUUGCUGGUUCAAAUGGUUGAUAAAUCUUACCCAUUCAAGGAAUUUUACAAAUAAAGACCUAAAAUUAACAGUUUGCACCUAGUGGCAUUCACAUAAUCAAAACAUCCUAGUGAAUCUAAAAAGAAACCUGAUGGUUCAGAUUGUUGAUCAAGUUAAAGAAAUUUCUAAGGUCUUGUGGACUACAUAUGUUUGCUUCAUGGAAGUAAAACUUUUUCUCCAGGAAAAACUUUU